rnacentral:rRNA from 1 species
AUUUGUCUGGUUAAUUCCGAUAACGAACGAGACCUUAACCUGCUAACUAGUCUAUUACAUUUCAUGUAAUUUGACUUCUUAGAGGGACUAUGUAUAUCAAGUACAUGGAAGUUUGAGGCAAUAACAGGUCUGUGAUGCCCUUAUAUGUCCUGGGCUGCACGCGUGCUACACUGAUGCAUACAACAAGUGCCUAGCUAGACAUAGUAUGGCAAUCUGGAAUAUGCAUCGUGAUGGGGAUAGAUCUUUGCAAUUAUAGAUCUUGAACGAGGAAUUCCUAGUAAGUGCAAGUCAUCAUCUUGCAUUGAUUAUGUCCCUGCCCUUUGUACACACCGCCCGUCGCUCCUACCGAUACCGGGUGAUCCGGUGAACCUUUUGGACCUCGCAAGAGGAAAAAUAAGUAAACCAUAUCACCUAGAGGAAGGAGAAGUCGUAACAAGGUUUCCGUAGGUGAACCUGCRGAAGGAUCA